UACAGAGGUGACAAACGUUGUCCGGAAUUAUUGGGCGUAAAGGGCGCGUAGGUGGUUGAGUAAGUCAGGUGUGAAAGCUCUGGGCUUAACCCAGGAAUUGCAUCUGAUACUGCUCGGCUUGAGUACGGUAGAGGAGGGUGGAACUGCGAGUGUAGAGGUGAAAUUCGUAGAUAUUCGCAAGAACACCAGUGGCGAAGGCGGCUCACUGGCCCGAUACUGACGCUGAGGCACGAAAGCGUGGGGAGCAAACAGG
rnacentral:rRNA from 1 species